rnacentral:rRNA from 1 species
GAUGAACGCUGGCGGCGUGCCUAAUACAUGCGAGUCGAGCGAACAGAUGAGGAGCUUGCUCCUCUGACGUUAGCGGCGGACGGGUGAGUAACACGUGGAUAACCUACCUAUAAGACUGGGAUAACUUCGGGAAACCGGAGCUAAUACCGGAUAAUAUAUUGAACCGCAUGGUUCAAUAGUGAAAGACGGUUUUGCUGUCACUUAUAGAUGGAUCCGCGCCGCAUUAGCUAGUUGGUAAGGUAACGGCUUACCAAGGCGACGAUGCGUAGCCGACCUGAGAGGGUGGUCGGCCACACUGGAACUGAGACACGGUCCAGACUCCUACGGGAGGCAGCAGUAGGGAAUCUUCCGCAAUGGGCGAAAGCCUGACGGAGCAACGCCGCGUGAGUGAUGAAGGUCUUCGGAUCGUAAAACUCUGUUAUUAGGGAAGAACAAAUGUGUAAGUAACUAUGCACGUCUUGACGGUACCUAAUCAGAAAGCCACGGCUAACUACGUG